rnacentral:rRNA from 1 species
GUAAUACCCGCAGCCCAAGUGGUGAUCGCUAUUAUUGAGCCUAAAGCGUCCGUAGCCGGUCUGAUAAUUCCUUGGGUAAAUCGGGCAGCUCAACUGUCCGAAUCCCGAGGAGACUGUCAGACUAGGACCGGGAGAGGUCAGAGGUACUCCGGGGGUAGGGGUGAAAUCCUGUAAUCCUCGGGGGACCACCAGUGGCGAAGGCGUCUGACCAGAACGGAUCCGACGGUAAGGGACGAAGCCCUGGGGCGCAAACCGGAUUAGAUACCCGGGUAGUCCAGGGUGUAAACGCUGCAGGCUUGGUGUCGGGGGUCCUACGAGGGCACUCGGUGCCGGAGAGAAGUUGUUAAGCCUGCCGCUUGGGGAGUACGCUCGCAAGAGUGAAACUUAAAGGAAUUGGCGGGGGAGCACAGCAACGGGAGGAGCGUGCGGUUCAAUUGGAUUCAACGCCGUAAAACUCACCGGGAGCGACGGUUACAUGAAGGUCAAGCUGAUGACUUUACCUGAUUUUCCGAGAGGUGGUGCAUGGCCGCCGUCAGUUCGUACCGUAAGGCGUUCUGUUAAGUCAGAUAACGAACGAGACCCUCACCCUUAUUUGCUAACAACCCUUCGGGGAAGAAGCACUAUAAGGGGACCGCUGGCGCUAAGUCAGAGGAAGGCGAGGUCAACGGUAGGUCAGUAUGCCCCGAAUCUCCCGGGCUACACGCGCGCUACAAAGGGCAGGACAAUGGGAUUCGACACCGAGAGGUGAAGGCAACCCCGAAACCUGCCCGUAGUUCGAAUUGAGGGCUGUAACUCGCCCUCAUGAAGCUGGAUUCCGUAGUAAUCGCGGAUCAACAUCCCGCGGUGAAUAUGCCCCUGCUCCUUGCACACACCGCCCGUCAAACCAUCUGAGUUGGGUCUGGAUGAGGCUGCCCAUU